rnacentral:lncRNA from 1 species
AUGUCUCGCUGCUUUUAAUAAGAAUGGUUCUGGUUAUGAUGUUGAUAUGUUUUAUCUUUACGUUGACUCAGUCAGUUUAGACACAGCUGCUUGUGCUCACAAGCCUAACGAGAGCAUCUAUCGUGCUAUAACCCAGACUCCCGAGGGAGCACUAUCUGUUUAUUAUAAAGGGAAAGAUAAGAGUUCAUUUCAAACCUGGUGUGCAUCGUAUGCAUAUAAUUCACAACUUUAUAAUAACUAUGGAAUAAAUGGCCACAUAGGAUUGUCGACACGAUGUCAUUCCAUCUAUUCUGAUC